UACGAAGGGGACUAGCGUUGUUCGGAAUCACUGGGCGUAAAGCGCACGUAGGCGGAUUUGUAAGUCAGGGGUGAAAUCCCGGGGCUCAACCUCGGAACUGCCUUUGAUGCUGCAAAUCUCGAGUCCGGAAGAGGUGAGUGGAAUUCCUAGUGUAGAGGUGAAAUUCGUAGAUAUUAGGAAGAACACCAGUGGCGAAGGCGGCUCACUGGUCCGGUACUGACGCUGAGGUGCGAAAGCGUGGGGAGCAAACAGG
rnacentral:rRNA from 1 species